AACCUUUUAUUCGCUAUGGCUUGUUGAUCGGCUUACUUGUCCGCUCAGAGAGUCUGUGUUGUCUAGUAGUAUAAAAACGCCCCCUACCUACCUCAGAGCUCUCUUCUCCUUCUCACGCUUGCUUGGUUUCCGAAUUCGAAAAAUCUAUCUCUUAAUCGCGACUUACUAUCAUUCAAGACUUCGUAUCUGUUGGACCCAAUUUUGGUCAAUAUGUUAAUGGGCCACGAUCAAGUAAAUGCACCGCGAGGAGUUAAAUCCCACAGCGAACACUCGAGCUCCAGAUGGAGACUUCGAAGAUCCGGAGAUCGCGGAACGGUUGCAGAGAUCGCGGAACGGUUGCGAGCAUCACGAGAGCAUCCCGUUAUAAGAAAGAGGUCGACACAUAAGAAAAUGACACAUUGAAAACCCUAGAGAGAGCUACCCCCAUACUUCGACCUUGUUUUUCAUCCAUCUUUAGAUCUUUUCUCUUAGCGAUCUCAUUGUAACGUUUGAUCUUGCUUUACUCAUUGUAUUCGAUCUUGUUCAUCAAUAAAAGUCCAUUUUUGUCUA